rnacentral:rRNA from 1 species
UGGGGAAUAUUGCACAAUGGGGGAAACCCUGAUGCAGCGACGCCGCGUGAGCGAAGAAGGUUUUCGAAUCGUAAAGCUCUGUCCUAUGAGAAGAUAAUGACGGUAUCAUAGGAGGAAGCCCCGGCUAAAUACGUGCCAGCAGCCGCGGUAAUACGUAUGGGGCGAGCGUUGUCCGGAAUUAGUGGGCGUAAAGGGUACGUAGGCGGUCUAUUAAGUCAGGUGUGAAAGCGUGAGGCUUAACCUCAUUAAGCACUUGAAACUGAUAGACUUGAGUGAAGGAGAGGAAAGUGGAAUUCCUAGUGUAGCUGUGAAAUGCGUAGAUAUUAGGAGGAAUACCGGUGGCGAAGGCGACUUUCUGGACUUUUACUGACGCUCAGGUACGAAAGCGUGGGGAGCAAACAGG